GUGAAAACACACUUAAUUGUCACUUUUGCAAAAAUUGGAAUGAUACAUAGGAGAUUAGUAUAGCCCCCUUCCUACGCAAGUAUGACACACUUAAACGAGAAAUGGUCAAGUACGGCCAUACUUUU
rnacentral:snRNA from 1 species